UACGUAGGAUGCAAGCGUUGUCCGGAAUUAUUGGGCGUAAAGAGCGCGCAGGCGGUAUGACAAGUCAGAUGUGAAAGAGGCCGGCUUAACCGGCAAGGGUCAUUUGAAACUGUCAGACUAGAGUGCAGCAGAGGAUAGUGGAAUUCCCGGUGUAGUGGUGAAAUGCGCAGAUAUCAGGAGGAACACCGAUGGCGAAGGCAGCUCGCUGGGACGGUACUGACGCUGAGGCGCGAAAGCGUGGGGAGCAAACAGG
rnacentral:rRNA from 1 species